rnacentral:rRNA from 1 species
ACGGAAGGCGCAGUGGGGAAUAUUGGGCAAUGGGCGCAAGCCUGACCCAGCGACGCCGCGUGAGGGAAGAAGGUCUUCGGAUUGUAAACCUCUUUCAGCAGGGAAGACCAAGAGACGGUACCUGCAGAAGAAGUCACGGCUAACUACGUGCCAGCAGCCGCGGUAAUACGUAGGUGGCGAGCGUUAUCCGGAAUUACUGGGUGUAAAGGGUGUGUAGGCGGAGAGGCAAGUCAGGCGUGAAAUACGUGGGCUCAACCCACGAACUGCGCUUGAAACUGUUUCCCUUGAGAGUGGGAGAGGUAAACGGAAUUCCUGGUGUAGUAGUGAAAUGCGUAGAUAUCAGGAGGAACACCGGUGGCGAAGGCGGUUUACUGGACCACAACUGACGCUGAGACACGAAAGCGUGGGGAGCAAACAGGAUUAGAUACCCUGGUA